ACCCUAUCUAGUAUGGUUGUUAUGACACUCGGCUUGUAAUCGAGUGGGCUCGGGUUCGAAUCCCGAAUAAGACA